AGCUUUAUAGUCAAAGUGUUAUGAUUUUAGACUGCAAUUCUAAAGUUAGGGUUAAUGAACCCUUAAAGCUU
rnacentral:tRNA from 1 species